rnacentral:RNase_P_RNA from 1 species
CGAGUCGGCUGGGCAGCCGCCCGUGCGGUUUUCCGUUCGGGAGGAAAGUCCGGGCUUCGCAGGACGAAGCGCCGGCUAACAGCCGGGCGCCGUGAGGCGACGGAAAGUGCCGCAGAAAACAGACCGCCCGCUCAUGAGCGGGUAAGGGUGAAAAGGUGGCGUAAGAGACCACCGCGGGAAACGGUAACGAUUCCCGGCAUGGUAAACCCCGCUUGAAGCAAGACAAAUAUGGAAACGCCGCGUUAUUCGCGGGGAGGUGGUCCGCCUCAUAGUUUCCGGGUUGUUGCUACAGACGUUCCGGCAACGGACGCCGCAGAUGAAUGGUUGCCCUUGACAGAACCCGGCUUACAGGCUGACUCGCUGA